rnacentral:rRNA from 1 species
CCUACGGGCGGCAGCAGUGAGGAAUAUUGGUCAAUGGGCGCGAGCCUGAACCAGCCAAGCAGCGUGAAGGAUGAAUGCCCUACGGGUUGUAAACUUCUUUUAUAAAGGAAUAAAGUGAGGCACGUGUGCCUUUUGUAUGUACUUUAUGAAUAAGGAUCGGCUAACUCCGUGCCAGCAGCCGCGGUAAUACGGAGGAUCCGAGCGUUAUCCGGAUUUAUUGGGUUUAAAGGGAGCGUAGAUGGGUUGUUAAGUCAGUUGUGAAAGGUUGCGGCUCAACCGUAAAAUUGCAAUUGAUACUGGCAGUCUUGAGUACAGUUGAGGUAGGCGGAAUUCGUGGUGUAGCGGUGAAAUGCUUAGAUAUCACGAAGAACUCCGAUUGCGAAGGCAGCUUACUAAACUGGCACUGACAUUGAUGCUCGAAAGUGUGGGUAUCAAACAGGAUUAGAUACCCUAGUAGUC